rnacentral:rRNA from 1 species
UACGGGGGGAGCAAGCGUUGUUCGGAUUUACUGGGCGUAAAGGGCGCGUAGGCGGUCGUGACAAGUCACUUGUGAAAUCUCCGGGCUUAACUCGGAAAGGUCAAGUGAUACUGUCGGACUAGAGUACAGAAGGGGCAACUGGAAUUCCCGGUGUAGUGGUGAUAUGCGUAGAUAUCGGGAGGAACACCUGUGGCGAAGGCGGCUUUCUGGGCCUUACCUGACGCUGAGGAGCGAAAGCGUGGGGAGCGAACAGG